rnacentral:rRNA from 1 species
AGUGGCGGACGGGUGAGUAACGCGUAAGAAUCUAACUUCAGGACGGGGACAACAGUGGGAAACGACUGCUAAUACCCGAUGUGCCGCGAGGUGAAACCUAAUUGGCCUGAAGAAGAGCUUGCGUCUGAUUAGCUAGUUGGUGGGGUAAGAGCCUACCAAGGCGACGAUCAGUAGCUGGUCUGAGAGGAUGAGCAGCCACACUGGGACUGAGACACGGCCCAGACUCCUACGGGAGGCAGCAGUGGGGAAUUUUCCGCAAUGGGCGAAAGCCUGACGGAGCAACGCCGCGUGAGGGAGGAAGGUCUUUGGAUUGUAAACCUCUUUUCUCAAGGAAGAAGUUCUGACGGUACUUGAGGAAUCAGCCUCGGCUAACUCCGUGCCAGCAGCCGCGGUAAUACGGGGGAGGCAAGCGUUAUCCGGAAUUAUUGGGCGUAAAGCGUCCGCAGGUGGUCAGCCAAGUCUGCCGUCGAAUCAGGUUGCUUAACGACCUAAAGGCGGUGGAAACUGGCAGACUAGAGAGCAGUAGGGGUAGCAGGAAUUCCCAGUGUAGCGGUGAAAUGCGUAGAGAUUGGGAAGAACAUCGGUGGCGAAAGCGUGCUACUGGGCUGUAUCUGACACUCAGGGACGAAAGCUAGGGGAGCGAAAGGGAUUAGAUACCCCUGUAGUCCUAGCCGUAAACGAUGGAUACUAGGCGUGGCUU